rnacentral:lncRNA from 1 species
GCUUGAAGCCCAUCCAGGCAAAGCCCCAGCAGCUUCUGCGUCAUCGGCUCAUGUCCCCUCAGGAGCUUCAGCUGAAAAUUUGUGACGUCCCGAGUGCCAGUGACCUCCCCAUGAGGCUGCACGUGGGUGGAGAGCUUUGAGGCCUACCCUGCACAGCUGUGGCAGAGGAAGGCAGACAGGGGCUCAGAGGGGCUUCCAAGCCUGGGGUUGUCGGUGACCACUGGCCCCUCAUGUAUGACUGGGUCCUGGACCACGCAGACCUCUCCCCAAGCUUCAGGAAGGCUGUUUUGCAAAAGCUUCUUCUGCAUCGUGAAAAGUGCCCUGAGUGGGCAGGAGGCCCUGGCAGUCCUGCCCACACCUGGAGCAGCCCCACAGGAAAGUCUGGACUUCAGCUCUUGGGCAGCCCCCCACCUGCACCUCCUGGGCGGGCAUGUCCCACUCAGGAGGGUCGCUCUGAGGACACAGCCCAGGCUCUGCCCCUCAGCAAGCUACAGAGCUCCCAGGUACUGGGCCUGGGGCUCAGAGAUGACCCAGAGCUGAUCCCCGAGUGUCUCAUUUCCCGGUGCCCGAGGCAGCUUCCAACCCCAGGGGUCAAGGGCAGGGGCUUUGGAGCCCUCCAGCCUGGGCCGAGCCAGUUCCCACCACCCCGUCUCCAUGGGUGGGUUGCUCAGCCUCCCCCCGCCCCUCUGGGUCAUCUUUAAAGCACUAGAGCCAAGCGAGUCCACAGUGUGAGAGGCUGUGAAGUGCGUCUGGAGCCUCACGAGCCCACGGAACUUCACCACGUCACUGACCCUCCGGGCCCAAGUCCACCGCACGUCUUGACCUGGGUGUCCGAGAGAUGAUCUUUACAGCUGUCAGGACCUCCUUCUGACCUGGAGUGGCUGGGCCGUGGCCAGCGUGAUGUUCAGGCUUGGCCAAGAGCUUGUCUUCUGAGGUGGGGUGAGAGUCUCAGACCCCUACCCAGCGUCCUGGGAUCCCUACCCAGCGUCCUGGGACCCCUACCCAGCAUCCUGGGACCCCUACCCAGCGUCCUGGGAUCCCUACCCAGCGUCCUGAGACCCCCACCCAGCAUCCUGGGACCCCUACCCAGCGUCCUGGGACCCCACCCAGCGUCCUGGGAUCCCUACCCAGCAUCCUGAGACCCCUACCCAGCGUCCUGGGACCCCUACCCAGCAUCCUGGGAUCCCUACCCAGCGUCCUGAGACCCCUACCCAGCGUCCUGGGAUCCCUACCCAGCGUCCUGAGACCCCUACCCAGCGUCCUGGGACCCCUACCCAGCGUCCUGGGACCCCUAUACCCAGCGUCCUGGGACCCCUACCCAGCGUCCUGGGAUCCCUACCCAGCGUCCUGAGACCCCUACCCAGCGUCNGAUCUGAGACCACCCCAGGCCGCCAGACAUGUCUCCCUGGAUCCCUCCACACACCCUGCUGGUUCAGGACUGGCUCAGGAGCCCUGAACACACCCUGGCCCCCAUCCCCUUUUCCCCAUCUAGGGGAGAGAUAGGUCAUGGACCCUCGGGACAUGCCCUCCUGCCUGAGAGCCCCUGCCCGAGAGCCCACCCUUGGUCCAGGGGAGUUGGGUGCAGCUCUCAGUCCUCCUAGCUGACUCAGGGAGCACAGGUGUGGCAGCAGGUAUGCACCCUCAGCCAGACUGUCUGCCCAGCCCCAUGCUCUGGGGAGAGAGCCAGGGGUACUGGGGCAGGUGAUGGUCCUCCUAGCCUUCAUGGGAGCUUCCAGGGCCCACGGGCAAGGCAGCCUGACUGCCCACCUGGCCACCUGGCCACACCUCUCACCUCACCUGGCUGCUCCUCCCCUUCUGCCCCAGAGCCACGAGGGCCCACCAUGCACCCCAGCCACCCUCCCCCCCAGCCCUCACCCUGCAUGACCCUGAGGUCCACUCCCCAAGGUGGCCCCUCCCCAAGGCUCAGACAAAGCCAGACCAGGAGGAGGCUCAGGGUCCUAGGAAGACAUGGCCUGAGGGCCAGGCCAGCGUCCACCAGGACCCACCCACUGUGCCUAGGGCAGGACAGACUUCCCGGGAACAGGGUGUCUGCAGGGGCGGCCAACAUCCCAGGGAGCCCCUGUCACCAUAGCCCCUCCCCAGGCCUGCAGGGAGCGCUGACGGGCUCCAGGCCCAGGACUCGGGGCAGGGCCCAGGAAGACGCCCUCUGCCCACCUCCCCCCUGCGCUCAGUUGCAAGCUUGAGGUGGUCCUGGCGCUGGGUCCUGGGUAGCUGGGAGGACCCGCUCACUCCUCCCUGUGCCCAGUCAGCAGCUGAGCCACCGGGAGAAGCCUCAGCCUGUGGGGCCGCGGGCGAGGGCCAGCUCUGUGACCUGCCUUGAGCUGCUCCUCCUCUCAGCCCAGGUGUGGGGGUCUCUGACCCGGGCCCCUCCACCUGCCCCGGAGCGACCCGCUCCAGAGGCUGCGCUUGCCCCCAGGGCCUUCCCACGCGCCCGUCCUGCCUCCUGCCACCCCAGGCGUGGUCACUGAAGGGCACGGCUCGGCUGCUUUAAUCAGAGUGUUUUUAGAGGGAAAGCAAAAUUCUCUAAAAUCCUUUUUUUCUACCAGCUGCUAUGAACUUUUAGGGCAGGUCUGUGGCUAUAAGUUCUCAUUUCUCUUGGGUAAAUUCUGAGGGAUAGAUUCUGGGUUAAAUAGAAAGUGUAGAUUUAAUUGUAUAAGAAACCAUCAGGCUGAUUUCCCAGGAGCAUGUGCCUUGUUGAAUUCCUGCCAGCAGAGCACAUGAGCUCCCCGCCCCUGCAGGCCCUCAGCCCUCGGUUGUCCGUCUUUUUAAUGUAGCCGUGUGAUGGCUGUGUAGUGAUGUCUCGUGGUGGGUUUUAAUUUGCGUAUUCAUUAAGCCCCCAUGCAGAGCAUCUUUUCAUGUGCUUAUUAGCAAUUCUUUUCUUUUGUGAAGGAUCAAAAGAAUGUUUGCGUGUUUCUUACUAUUGAGUUGUUAGAGUUCUUUACAUAUUGUGGAUAUAAGUCCUUCAUCAGAUGCACAUGUUAUGAAUAUCUGCCCCUAGAGAGGAGGUUGCUAUUUCACUGUUUUGGAGGCAGUGUCUGUUGUCACCGUGUACGUGUACUGAAAUACCAUGCCGUACUCCCGCAAGGCGUUUCACUUGUGAGUCGAUUUAAAAUAAAAUUAAACCUAAACUCAAAAUAAAUAAAAUUUAAAAUGAAAAAGGAAAGAAUUCAUGUGGCCACUUGCAGGUUCCCACAGGAGUGAAGACACGAGCCAGUUGAACAGCUCCUCAGCAGAGCCAGAGGAGGGGUCCGCAGAGCUGCCACAGCAAGUGCCUUCGCGGCCGUCCCAGGGGAGGCCCUGCAGGCCCCGGGCUCCGGCUGGCCAAGAGCUCAGACACAGGGAUGACGCCCAGCUGCCUGCCAAGCGGGCACCGUGUCCACGGCACAGAGGGCAAAGGCAGGCCUCCCACCUCCUCGCCUGGAGGCAGAACUGAAUAAACACCAGCCAGCAAAGCUAGCCCCCCGAUAAGAGGACACCUGGCCUGGUAAGCUCUGGCACCCUCCGGCUCAGCCGGGCCACUCAGGUCAGCAACAUUAUUAAAACUCAUUCCAGAGAACCGGGCCCUGGGGAGGGCUGGCCUCCAAGCUAAAGCCUCCGGCUGAGUGGGCAGCCGAGCUUCCAGGCCCCUCCGGGCAAGGCAGCCUGACUGCCCACCUGGCCACCUGGCCACACCUCUCACCUCACCUGGCUGCUCCUCCCCUUCUGCCCCAGAGCCACGAGGGCCCACCAUGCACCCCAGCCACCCUCCCCCCCAGCCCUCACCCUGCAUGACCCUGAGGUCCACUCCCCAAGGUGGCCCCUCCCCAAGGCUCAGACAAAGCCAGACCAGGAGGAGGCUCAGGGUCCUAGGAAGACAUGGCCUGAGGGCCAGGCCAGCGUCCACCAGGACCCACCCACUGUGCCUAGGGCAGGACAGACUUCCCGGGAACAGGGUGUCUGCAGGGGCGGCCAACAUCCCAGGGAGCCCCUGUCACCAUAGCCCCUCCCCAGGCCUGCAGGGAGCGCUGACGGGCUCCAGGCCCAGGACUCGGGGCAGGGCCCAGGAAGACGCCCUCUGCCCACCUCCCCCCUGCGCUCAGUUGCAAGCUUGAGGUGGUCCUGGCGCUGGGUCCUGGGUAGCUGGGAGGACCCGCUCACUCCUCCCUGUGCCCAGUCAGCAGCUGAGCCACCGGGAGAAGCCUCAGCCUGUGGGGCCGCGGGCGAGGGCCAGCUCUGUGACCUGCCUUGAGCUGCUCCUCCUCUCAGCCCAGGUGUGGGGGUCUCUGACCCGGGCCCCUCCACCUGCCCCGGAGCGACCCGCUCCAGAGGCUGCGCUUGCCCCCAGGGCCUUCCCACGCGCCCGUCCUGCCUCCUGCCACCCCAGGCGUGGUCACUGAAGGGCACGGCUCGGCUGCUUUAAUCAGAGUGUUUUUCUUUUAAGCAAGUGGCUUCCGCAGGUGGCAGAAGCCAUAACGCUCUGCCUGUGAUCUGCUGUGGGUAAUGGUCACACACGUGACCUGGGCGAUGUCACAGGACCUCAUAGAAACCCGGGGGAAACUGAGGCUUCCAGAGACCAAGAAGGCUGACCCCAAGCUGCAGCCUGCGGGGCCAGGGGGCAGCCCCUCCUUCCCUGCCAGGCAAGACCCCACCCAGGAAAGGGUCAGGAGGUAGAGAGUCAAGGCCUCAGGCCCACGCUCUCCUUAACAGCGCACCGUGGCCCCUGCGUUCCCAGUCUGUUCUGUGUGCCUGCUGCCUGAGCAUCUAGGGCCUCACUGACCCUCAGGCAGCUAAUUCCUAGGGAUGGUAAAGCACUACUCCGCCAUUCAGUGCAGAGCCCACGCCCACCCUGGGUUCCCCUAAACUGUGACCACCCCUCCAGGGUGGUGCUGGACAACCAGGCAGCCCCUGGGCUCCAGGGUCCUGAAAUCCCUCAAACUGGCCAAUCCUAGGCCUGCUUGCUGUCCUUGUCCACUGUCGUGAGUGAGCUAUGUCAUUAAAAUAGACCAAACACGUCUGUAUCUUUCUGCAAUGUCGGCAUUCACUGAGCAACAAUAAAUUCACAGGCUGCCCACUUUCCUUUGUGGCAAUUCACUGAAUACCCCUAGGUUACCUGGUAGUCAUGAGCACGACAAUCACAGAUUCUUUUAUUCCACUCUUAAUUUCUAAUAUCCAAAGACAACAGUCACACACACGUCACAGAGUGAUACAUAAGAAGUAGGUCAUGGGCUGGGGAUGUGGCUCAAGUGGUAGUGCGCUUGCCUGGCAUGCAUGCGGCGCUGGGUUCGAUCCUCAGCAUCACAUACAAAUAAAAGGAUGUUGUGCCGC